GUUGGAUAUGAGGAGGAAGUUUUUCCCCCAGAGGGUGGUGACGCACUGAACAGGUUGCCCAAGGAGGCUGUGGAUGCCCCAUCCCUGUAGGCAUUCAAGGCCAGGCUGGAUGUGGCUCUGGGCAGCCUGGUCUGCUGGUUGGCGACCCUGCACAUAGCAGGGGGUUGGAACUGAUGAGCAUUGUGGUCCUUUUCAACCCAGGCCAUUCU
rnacentral:lncRNA from 1 species